rnacentral:rRNA from 1 species
CCUACGGGUGGCAGCAGUGGGGAAUCUUUGGCAAUGGGCGCAAGCCUGACCCAGCAACGCCGCGUGAAGGAAGAAGGCUUUCGGGUUGUAAACUUCUUUUGUCAGGGAAGAGUAGAAGACGGUACCUGACGAAUAAGCCACGGCUCACUACGUUCCAGCAGCCGCGGUAAUAUGGAGGUGGCACGCGUUGUCCGGAUUUACUGGGUGUAAAGGGCGUGUAGCCGGGUUGACAAGUCAGAUGUGAAAUCCUGCGGCUUAACCGCAGAACUGCAUGUGAAACUGUUGAUCUUGAGUACUGGAGAGGUAGAUGGAAUUCCUAGUGUAGGGGUGAAAUGCGUAGAUAUUAGGAGGAACACCAGUGGCGAAGGCGGUCUGCUGGACAGCAACUGACGGUGAGGCGCGAAAGCGUGGGGAGCAAACAGGAUUAGAUACCCUGGUAGUC